rnacentral:lncRNA from 1 species
UGACAUGGAAGUGUGUAUGAAGCAAAGGAGGAAUUGAAUUCCUCCAUGCAGAAAAAAUGGCACCCAUUGGCAUUCAUUGAUGUUUACUUAAUGUUUAUGGAGACCAAACAAUGAAUGUUAGCAUAAAUAGGUUUUGGAUUGACCUCUGUAUAACAACUCCAGUGGCUUGGGGAAACAAAUUACUGUAGCUUUUAAGGAGCAGCAAUUUUGCUGACAAGAAUUUAAAGACUGUCCCGUGUACCUUCUACAAGACUUCCUGUUCCCUGAGGUACAGGCACCGAGUAUGUGUCUGAUCAUCACCAGUAUUACCUUGACAAAUAUAAGUCUAUCCUUUCACAAUAAAAGGCUGAGUGAUAAAUUACAAAGCUGAAAACAAAGCUACCAGUAUCUAUAAUAACAGAUGGGAAAAACAAACAAACAAGCGAACAUUUUUUAAAUUAAUAUCCACAAACUAAACGGGCAAGAGUUUGUACGUACAAACUUUCCUCCAGAUGUGAAACAGAAGCAGCAAACAGAAUCGGUUACAUCAUUUCACAAGCACCUAAAACAACAGAAUGCACUUGUCAUUUGCUUGGUUUUACUUCCACUGCUGCAGAUAUUUAGGAGUCUGAGCUGAUCUUCUAGAGAAGUGCUCCUUGCCAGUGCAGUGCUUCAGACAGAGUGCUGGGCAACUGUCAACUUGGAAGGAUGGGUUUCAUUCAAAUACAACACCUACCUACUUGACACUGCCUUACAAAUGGGAAAUCAUGACUUGAAGUACAGCUUCCUAAAAAUGUCUUCAGGAAGCAACUACCUCUUAUUUUCAAAUUACACCACAAGAAGUAUUUCCCCAUUUCCUACCUUUCCUGAAUCUAAAUAUUUAUUGAAUUGUAUCAAAUUAACUUACGUAUAGUUAAGGAAAUCUUUCUGUGCUGUUUCCCACCUCUUAUUCUACUCAGAUUGUACGUGGAAGACAUAAUACCUUCGGUUUUAAAAUCUCUAAGAAAAGAAUAAAAAAAUGCAGUGGACAGUGUAAUGCAAAAUGGGAUAGUUAUUCUGUUAGUUCAGGCUUGUUUGGAACAUUUGGACAGGCAAACUGUACGUGAUCUAGCAUAGAUUACUGCUGCAAUAGUCUAAUGAGAUGCAGGCCCUACCUAAAGCAGGCAGGCAGGUUAGUGAUAGUGCUUCAUGAUGGCUUCCAAUCAGUGGAAUCAAAUGCACAUCAAAUGUUCUUGUGGUGUAAUUUGAAAAUAAGAGGUAGUUGCUUCCUUGCGUUGGCCUUACCUGAAAAGCAAAAUCAUGAGAAUACAGACCUCCUGGUUGUGGUUUUUGUGGGUCUGGGUGUGGGUACGUGUGUGUGGGGGUGUGUGUGGGUGUCUUUUUAAUGUAUUUAUUUUUCCCUGUGAAUCCUGGUCACAUAUAACACUACUUUAAACAUGUAAGGAACAUACAUCCCUACCCAAUUUCAUGCUUAAACCAGGUUAAACAUCCCAGCUAGGAAAUGUAUUACGUUAUGCAAAAGUCUCUUAGGCUGAUGCAAUAUUUCUAAACCUUACCUUAAGAAACAAUUAUUAUGCAAGCACCUUAUCAACACUGCAGACAUCAGCUUGUCCUGCAGUAUUAUACAGAAACCGAUGACAAUAACAUAAUAAUUAAUGAAACUAGGAAUUAAGUUGUACAAUACUUCUUUCUUUGUAAUCAUAGAAAUUACGAAUUUCAGAGAACUUUGUUACAAUGCCAGUAUAAUAGAUCUCUUUCAACGAUAAUAAAAUAAUAGCAUAUAGCAAUACUUCUGUUUCUAAUACAGCUUAAGACAAGGUACCUAAAAUAUUACAUGGGACUAGUGCAACACUCUCAUCUGCAACAAUCUGCACCUAUCUCAAGCUGCUGUUUGUCUGCUGCCCGUACAAUGAUAUUUGUGACAUUCUGGCAAUUCAAACAGCUCUUCAGUCAUUCAGAAUGUAAGUGGCUUCCUAAACCCUUCUGUCACAUAUUUUCCUAUAUUUAAUAUCAGCUCCUGAAACAAAUUUGAAAAUUUGCUGAAGUUACACAAAACAACUUUGAAGCUGUCUGAUCCUCUCUGCAUCUAGCCAUGUAACCAAGCUCAUUUUCUUGACAUCUGAUAAUGUCCUCGAUUCUUACGUAAAGAACAACAUUGCUUUGAAUAUUUGAUUGCUUAUUCUUUGUCUAAAUGUAUCUUCAUUCUGUUAACCCAUAUUUGUUGAUUUGAUGUGUAAGUGGGAUAACUACUAUAUUGAUCUUUGAAAGGUUUUGUUUGUUUGUUGGAUUUUUUGACCUUCAGUAAUAAAAUU